UACGGAGGGAGCUAGCGUUGUUCGGAAUUACUGGGCGUAAAGGGUGCGCAGGCCGCGCGGGCAGUCAAAUGUGUAAUUCUGGGGCUCAACCCCUGCACUGCGCUUGAUACUUCCGCGCUCGAGCUUUGGAGAGGAGUCUGGAAUUCUCGGUGUAGCAGUGAAAUGCGUGGAUAUCGAGAAGAACACUUAGGGCGAAGGCAAGACUCUGGACAAAUGCUGACGCUCAUGCACGAAGGCUAGGGUAGCGAACGGG
rnacentral:rRNA from 1 species